rnacentral:rRNA from 1 species
AACGAACGCUGGCGGCAGGCUUAACACAUGCAAGUCGAACGGUAGCACAGAGGAGCUUGCUCCUUGGGUGACGAGUGGCGGACGGGUGAGUAAUGUCUGGGAAACUGCCCGAUGGAGGGGGAUAACUACUGGAAACGGUAGCUAAUACCGCAUAACGUCUUCGGACCAAAGUGGGGGACCUUCGGGCCUCACACCAUCGGAUGUGCCCAGAUGGGAUUAGCUAGUAGGUGGGGUAAUGGCUCACCUAGGCGACGAUCCCUAGCUGGUCUGAGGGGAGGACCAGCCACACUGGAACUGAGACACGGUCCAGACUCCUACGGGAGGCAGCAGUGGGGAAUAUUGCACAGUGGGCGCAAGCCUGAUGCAGCCAUGCCGCGUGUAUGAAGAAGGCCUUCGGGUUGUAAAGUACUUUCAGCGGGGAGGAAGGCGUUAAGGUUAGUAACCUUGGCGAUUGACGUUACCCGCAGAAGAAGCACCGGUUAACUCCGUGCCAGCAGCCGCCGCAG